AGGGGAAUAGCUGGGUCAAGUGGUGGUUCCAUUCCCAGCUUUCCAAGGAAUCUCCAAACUGCUUUCCAGAUUGGCUGCACCACUUUACAGUCCUACCAGCAAU
rnacentral:pre_miRNA from 1 species